AUGGACUCCAACCUGGCGAUUUUGUUUAUUAGAAAGGACAAAAUGGACCUGGCCUACUGGCGUAGCGGUAUGAAUCUUCCAGUGUGUCGUCUCUGCUAAAGCACGUGAAACAGCAGGCGAAUGUCUUAAGUGAUCCUACAUCCGGUCUUCAUUUGUUUGCUGGGCUCUCUUCAGCUAAAAGUGAUCCAUAUUCCUUGAACCCUGGUCACUAAGGAAGCAGAAGGCAGAAAGCAGGGUAUCUUUGGAACCAAAACCUCCUGCCGUAUGGCCAGGGGAAGAGGCCGUGGUGGAGAGGAGCAGAGAGAACCUUUCGUCCUGCAAGUGGGUGUUUUGUUUGGAGGAGAACUGGCUGGCUGUCACCUGAAGAAUCACCUGCAAGCCCCGGGAGCUGCCGCGGGGAUACUGAACAGUGGGAACCACUGCUCUGUCGGAUUUGAGGGCAUCUGCAGGUGUUGCAAUGGGGUACUGUGUUGUGUUUCAAAAUAAUUUCCUC
rnacentral:lncRNA from 1 species